rnacentral:rRNA from 1 species
AGAACGAACGCUGGCGGCAUGCCUAACACAUGCAAGUCGAACGGGACCUUCGGGUCUAGUGGCGCACGGGUGCGUAACGCGUGGGGAUCUGCCCUUAGGUACGGAAUAACAGUUAGAAAUGACUGCUAAUACCGUAUAAUGACUUCGGUCCAAAGAUUUAUCGCCUAGGGAUGAACCCGCGUAGGAUUAGCUUGUUGGUGAGGUAAAGGCUCACCAAGGCGACGAUCCUUAGCUGGUCUGAGAGGAUGAUCAGCCACACUGGGACUGAGACACGGCCCAGACUCCUACGGGAGGCAGCAGUGGGGAAUAUUGGACAAUGGGCGAAAGCCUGAUCCAGCAAUGCCGCGUGAGUGAUGAAGGCCUUAGGGUGUAAAGCUCUUUUACCCGGGAUGAUAAUGACAGUACCGGAGAAUAAGCUCCGGCUAACUCCGCGCCAGCAGCCGC